GAAAAGUUUUAUUUUAGCUUGUAGGUAGGAUUUGCUUUUGAAAUAUAUGCUUAUUAUUAGAUAAAUUGGUUGCAGUAUUUAAUAUUUUAUAUUUAUUCGAUUUUGAUUGAGCAAUAAGUUGUGAUUUUAACUAAAUUUGUGCCAGCAGUUGCGGUUAUACAAAUAAGAUUAUUUUAUCUUUUCGAGAAAAAUUAAAUUUUUUAUGAGAGUUGAAUUUUUUGUUUUUAGGGUAGAAUCUCAAAUAGAAAGUUAAUUUGUUUUUAUUUUUUGAUUAUUUUAAAUUUGUUUUUAGACUAGGAUUAGAUACCCUAUUAUUAUAAGUGUAAAUAAUUUCUUAAUUAGUAUUAGUUAUUGCUUGAAAAUUAAAUAUUUUGGCGGUAUUUUAUCCUUUCAGAGGAACCUGUUCCUUAAUCGAUAAUCCACGAUUUAAGUUACUUAUACUUUUAGUUUGUAUAUCGUCGUUUUGAAGAUUUUAUUAGAAUUUUAAUUUUCUUUAUUUUUUUUUGAAAAUAUGUCAGAUCAAGGUGCAGUUUAUGUAUAAGGGGUAAUGGGUUACAAUAAUUUUAUUUAUACGGAUGUUUUUGUUAAAACUGAGCUUAAGGUGGAUUUGAAAGUAAAGAAUUAAUAUUUUGAUUUUUGAUAUGGAAUCUAAAAUAUGCACAUAUCGCCCGUCGCUCUCAUUAUUAAUUUGAGAUAAGUCGUAACAUAGUAGGUGUACUGGAAAGUGUACCUAGAUAGUC
rnacentral:ncRNA from 1 species